rnacentral:rRNA from 1 species
CCUACCGGGAGGGCAGCAGGUAGGGAAUAUUGCUCAAUGGGGGAAACCCUGAAGCAGCAACGCCGCGUGGAGGAUGAAGGUUUUCGGAUUGUAAACUCCUUUUGUUAGAGAAGAUAAUGACGGUAUCUAACGAAUAAGCACCGGCUAACUCCGUGCC